GUCAAGCUUCAAGUGUCCCGGGGCAGCGGAGGACCCUCCCAGGCAGCCUUGCGAACAAAUCCUCCACACACACACCUCCCUAUAUACGCAUAUAUAUCUAUAUACAUACAGUUGCACACACGCGCUGACCGGCGAAGGCAGGCGCUUUUCUUUUCCAUUUUACGCUUUCCUGCCAUCACAUCUGUGUAGCGUGGCACGCACACGGUUGUCUCUCCCGCACGCAUCACUGAUUGACGCCACCACACCCUUCGACAGCGCACGUUUGAUUUGCUUGCUUUCAGUUUCUGUGUCCAUAUUCACCUGCCUAGACUUAGAUCUGGUAGCGCCGCUACCUGCUGCUGCGCGUGCGCUCCUUCCUUAUUGUUUUAUUUCGUCCGCUCUGCUUGUUAACCUGCAACCUGGCUGCAAAUCACCACUUCCUCAGCCGCUGCCGGACGUUGCCGUAGAUCAUCGAGUUAGGGACAGGUUGGAAACCACUGCGUCGUUUUCGUUAUUAGUAUUUUCAUAUACGGCUGCUUCGCGGUCGCGUCGCACCACCAGCGCACCUCCUGCCACGACAGUGGCCGUUGAGUGAAGUUACCCAGGCACUCACAGAAGGACAAUGACCAACACUCAUACACACUCACCAAUGACCUGUGCACCACAGGUUCACCACUCUGCACCUAAUAUCCUUGCGUUUCACGAGAGCCAUCAUGAUUUGAUAAAGGGCACACUCGCGCCCGACCUGCAUGGCAACCUCCCGCGCCACCUUCGCAGUGUGAUUCUGCAGACAAACCGGGCACCAUUUCGGCUACCUGCUACGGGCGCGCCGCGGUCCUCACCGUAUCGCACGCCGCAGUGGACUGAGCUCAGCGAGUGCAUUCGUGAAGUGUCGCCACCUCCCUUCCCAGAUGAGGAUGUCCGUCGCCUCGCCGGAUCCCGCGCAGAGCCGCUCUCUCACUCGCCAUCGACGACGAUGUCUUUGCCAGGAUAUGCGGUGGUAAGGCGCCUCGCAGAUCUUUCUCAGGCGUCCGAUGUAGACCCGGCAGCCAUCACAGCCGCUCUGCGAGAGGCUGAGAGGGUGCUGGAGGUUCCCAUGGACGCCGGCACAAACCGUGAAUAUGCACGCUGCAGCGGUGCGAUGAUUGCCGAGCGCUCCACAGACGAGGAGCGCUUACCUCUGAGUCGUGGGCGAGCGACAUCGUCGGUCGCGUCAUCCGCCUCUGCCCGGCUUCGCGAGGAGGAUGCUCAAUCGCGAUGCCCGCGCCACCACCAUGAGCACCCGCGGCAUCAGCGCCACCACUGCGAUGGGAGCCGUGCACUUUCACCUGAGCACGUCACUGCAGCCUCCGGAUUAGGGGCAGCAUCUUGCUUCCACAGCUCCUCACCCUGGGGCUGGCCAGCCCCCGCACCUGUCCUUUCUGGAUCGCCGGCGCCGCCCCGUCCCGCUCCCACUGCAACAAAUUCGCCAGCGAACAACCACGCCGGCCCCCAUGCAUCUUCCAGCACAGCGGGCGUUCUUGACCCCACCCUGCGUUGGUAUGACGUGUACUACGCCUGGAUGUUCUACUACCAGCAGCUGUACGCCGCACAGGCGCUGCAGGAACGGCAGCGGCAGCGCGCGAAGCGAGGGAAGAGAGAGAAGAGAGAGAGUCACCGCACUCCUCACGGCAGGCAUGCUGUCUCUCGCGCAGCCAGCUCGGGGCCGGAAGCGUCGAUGGGAAACCAAGAAGAUGGCACCCACUAUGCUCACGUGCUGCGGCAGCCUCGCGCCGUGGCACGGGUAGAGCGAGGUGGCGGUCCCGAAGGGGCCGUUCGUAGUAUGUCCGAGGCUUCCGUGUCAAUGAGUGCACAGCCGAUUCGUCAUCAUUGCCCCAUUUCACCUCCAAAGCCAAGCACUCACACCCGCGCGUCGCAAACACCACGGGUGCCGGGUGAGAAAAACGCAAAAGGUGACGACCGGGCAGCGCGUCUUCGCGCGGAGCUGCGCCGCCUCGAGGAGGAGUACGCGACCUUGUCGUCUUCGUUGGCCGAUGUCGAAGGUGACGAGGCGCAGCCUCCGACCUGUGCUGAUGGCCGCAUCAGACACUUUGCUGCUGCCUCUGCCGCAGGCGCGACCAUCGCAAGACCGCAGCCAGCGUGUCCACCUGCACCAGCAGAGGCUCGCGCGCAGAGGGGUAAGUGGCUGGACAGCCGCGACGAUGUCGGCCCAACCUCGCACCGAGGUUCUGCAGCUCCAGCGGAAACGUGGCAGGCUCUUUCGGAGCGUCAGCGCAACGAAACCUUUCACUCGAUGGCGCGCGUCCGCGCAAGUCGUGGUCCCUCACCACAGCCGCUCUCACGUCAGCGACCACAGUGGCGACACUGACGGCGCACCGGCGACGGCUGCGUUUUUUUUUUUCCUGCGGUGUUUCCGCGCAACGGUGCGACGUUACAAGGACACACAGGAGAACUUGAGGAAAGAGGCAAAACACGUGAGUCACCGAAGCGCAGCACUCCAGCUCGCUGUGCCGUUGUCGCGCAGCCAUGCCUGCAACACCG
rnacentral:misc_RNA from 1 species